CACUGUGGGAAGAGCUGAGGAUACAGAGAUGGAAGUAUGCGAUCUGUGGCCAGGAGUUGCUUCAAGGCCAGUUGGGGAAAAUGGCAAUAAUCUAAUCAGUCUGUGCAACAGAACAGUAUAAAUCCACAUGAAAUAAACACAGAGCUGAAAGAACAUGGGGUGCAGAUCUGACAUGCUCUGGAUUGGUCAUAGGGAUGAAAUGAGAGAAGAUACACCAAACCACAUGCACUUUGUGUGGCACGUGAUGGGCACUCGGAAGAGG